rnacentral:rRNA from 1 species
CAGUAGCCACGGUAAUACGUAGGUGGCAAGCGUUGUCCGGAAUUAUUGGGCGUAAAGGGCUCGCAAGCGGUUUCUUAAGUCUGAUGUGAAAGCCCCCGGCUCAACCGGGGAGGGUCAUUGGGAACUGGGAAACUUGAGUGCAGAAGAGGAGAGUGGAAUUCCACGUGUAGCGGUGAAAUGCGUAGAGAUGUGGAGGAACACCAGUGGCGAAGGCGACUCUCUGGUCUGUAACUGACGCUGAGGAGCGAAAGCGUGGGGAGCGAACAGGAUUAGAUACCCCUGUAGUCCCUGUCUCUUAUAC